rnacentral:misc_RNA from 1 species
GAUGAAGAACGUAGUGAAAUGCGAUAACUAGUGUGAAUUGCAGAAUUCCGUGAAUCAUCGAGUCUUUGAACGCACAUUGCGCCCCUUGGUAUUCCGAGGGGCAUGCCUGUUCGAGCGUCAUUAUAACCCCUCAAGCUCAGCUUGGUGUUGGGGCCUGCUGCACUGGCAGCCCUUAAAAUCAGUGGCGGCGCCAUCUGGCUCUAAGCGUAGUAAUUCUUCUCGCUAUGGAGUCCUGGUGGAUGCUUGCCAUCAACCCCCAAUUUUUCUAUGGUUGACCUCGGAUCAGGUAGGGAUACCCGCUGAACUUAAGCAUAUCAAUAAGCGGAGGA